rnacentral:rRNA from 1 species
AAGCCUCUAAGCAUCAGGUAACAUCAAAUCGUACCCCAAACCGACACAGGUGGUCAGGUAGAGAAUACCAAGGCGCUUGAGAGAACUCGGGUGAAGGAACUAGGCAAAAUGGUGCCGUAACUUCGGGAGAAGGCACGCUGAUAUGUAGGUGAAGUCCCUCGCGGAUGGAGCUGAAAUCAGUCGAAGAUACCAGCUGGCUGCAACUGUUUAUUAAAAACACAGCACUGUGCAAACACGAAAGUGGACGUAUACGGUGUGACGCCUGCCCGGUGCCGGAAGGUUAAUUGAUGGGGUUAGCCGCAAGGCGAAGCUCUUGAUCGAAGCC